UACGUAGGGUGCAAGCGUUGUCCGGAAUUAUUGGGCGUAAAGAGCUCGUAGGCGGUCUGUCGCGUCUGCUGUGAAAACCCGGGGCUCAACCCCGGACCUGCAGUGGGUACGGGCAGACUAGAGUGUGGUAGGGGAGACUGGAAUUCCUGGUGUAGCGGUGAAAUGCGCAGAUAUCAGGAGGAACACCGGUGGCGAAGGCGGGUCUCUGGGCCAUUACUGACGCUGAGGAGCGAAAGCGUGGGGAGCGAACAGG
rnacentral:rRNA from 1 species